rnacentral:rRNA from 1 species
UAGGGAAUCUUCCGCAAUGGGCGAAAGCCUGACGGAGCAACGCCGCGUGAGUGAUGAAGUUCUUCGGAUUGUAAAACUCUGUUAUUAGGGAAGAACAAAUGUGUAAGUAACUAUGCACGUCUUGACGGUACCUACUCAGAAAGCCACGGCUAACUACGUUCCAGCAGCCGCGGUAAUACGUAGGUGGCAAGCGUUAUCCGGAAUUAUUGGGCGUAAAGCGCGCGUAGGCGGUUGUUUAAGUCUGAUGUGAAAGCCCACGGCUCAACCGUGGAGGGUCAUUGGAAACUGGAAAACUUGAGUGCAGAAGAGGAAAGUGGAAUUCCAUGUGUAGCGGUGAAAUGCGCAGAGAUAUGGAGGAACACCAGUGGCGAAGGCGACUUGCAGGUCUGAAACUGACGCUGAUGUGCGAAAGCGUGGGGAUCAAACAGG